GAUGAACGCUGGCGGCGUGCCUAAUACAUGCAAGUCGAGCGAACAGACGAGGAGCUUGCUCCUCUGACGUUAGCGGCGGACGGGUGAGUAACACGUGGAUAACCUACCUAUAAGACUGGGAUAACUUCGGGAAACCGGAGCUAAUACCGGAUAAUAUAUUGAACCGCAUGGUUCAAUAGUGAAAGACGGUUUUGCUGUCACUUAUAGAUGGAUCCGCGCCGCAUUAGCUAGUUGGUAAGGUAACGGCUUACCAAGGCAACGAUGCGUAGCCGACCUGAGAGGGGGGUCCGGCCACACGGGAACGGAGACACGGCCCGAACCCUAAGGGAGGGCAGCAAAGGGAAACUUUCGGAAUGGGGCGAAGCCCGAACGAGGAAACGCGGGUGGGGUGAGGAGGGCCUCCGAUUGGUAAACCCUUGUAAUUGGGAAGAACAAAAUGGGAAGUAACUAUGCACGUCUUGACGGUACCUAAUCAGAAAGCCACGGCUAACUACGUG
rnacentral:rRNA from 1 species